UAGACCUUGAGAGAGUCCACUUUAACCUGUUCACCCAGCAAGAAAAGGGCAGGAUUUUCUCGAGUGAAUAAAACCAAUUGAUUCAUGAAAAUAGAUUCUUGAGAAACUUCACCAUGAGAUACAGCUCUGAUUUGAGGAGGGAAAUAGAAGCAUUUAUUCAGGUUGUGCAGUCAACCUCCUGAACAGUGCACUGAAACUGUAAUUCCCACCCUCAAGACGCACUUGGUCUGAAGAACUUGCAGCAACAUCUGUAUUUUGUGCUAAAGAAAGCUGUGUGAAGAUUCUAAGCUUGUCAACUGAAUUUUUUAACAUUAAUUUUUGUUAGCACAGGACUGCAGCAGCAGUUAUAGUCAGUUAACGAGUAGCUCCUAAAACAUGUGUGUCUUUUUGUGUGUGUAUGAUUAAAUUAUAAAUAAACUCUUGAAUGAC